AUUUGUUGAUUUAUGCUUCACCUCUUUUUCUGUAGAUCAUCUCCAAUUCCCGCAAUUAUGUAUAUAGCCAUUUUACUUGCCAAGAUUAUAUUAUAUGUGUUUACUAAUUGUGCAGUUGUCUGGUGGCAUGUCACAGCAGAAUGCAGCAUCAUUUGAUAAAAAUCAGACUAGCCCUGCUCUCAAACAGAGCCAGCGACGCGAGGCCAG
rnacentral:misc_RNA from 1 species